rnacentral:lncRNA from 1 species
AGAGCUCGCUCAGCUCAUAUCUUAAUUUGGCUUCACCAUGCUUGAUUUGUAAUGUGUUCUGAGACCCAAGAGAAGCUCUGACAUUGCAAUUAGGUACCUAUGAACGUUAUAUUAGGAUAAUAUAUUCAAUGCUAGAGACCCCAGGUAAAGAGAGUGGUAAUCAUUAUCUGUAUUCUUCCUAUACUUAAGACUCAAGCAUUCAGAAACUGUCACAAUAAAGGGGAGCUAAGCCAGUUUCUCUUCCUAAUUAAUCUAUUAAAUGCUCUCUUUCCCUGUCUCCAUCUUUCUCUUCCACUUCCACGACACAUAUAUGUGUGUCGAGGACCCUUCGAUUAAUUCAGGGCACUUUGAGGCAUCAUUCUAGGUUGUCUCUUCCAGGUGUAAUUUACUGUAAUCCCCUCGGAAAAUGAAAGCCAUUUUCCUGAAGCCAGUGAGUAGGCAGACACUAAUUUGCAUCCCACAUUUCAAGUCCUAAAUUACUCCCUGGUUCCCCAGAGGUCAAAUGAGAGCAAUGGUUGUCACUUUGCUUCUGCUAUGCACAUGGCUCUUCAACACGCAAUGGCUGCCCCAGCCAAGGUAGCAUUUGAUCCUAGCUUUCUUCCCAGGCCCUGGGAUGGUGGAAAACAUCCACAGUUUGGUCACAAUCAAGUAAAUAAAGAUUGAUGAUGUAAGCACUGAACGUGUGAUAUCACUGAGAUGAACAACGAUGUGCAAAAUGACCAAAAUCUGGGACAGGAAAAAAUUGUUGAAGACCUGGGCCAUUUUCCCUGGAGAAAAGAAGAUUCAGGGAGGUCGGGAAAACAGGCUUCAGAAGCCUAGGGGCUGUCAUGUAGAAGAGAGGUUAGUCUUAGGCUGCGUGGUCUCAAGGGAGAAUAAGAAGCAGUGAGUGGAAGCCACAGAGAAAAAAAAUCUCUGUGCACAAGAUAACCUAGACUUCCCAAAGUGGAUAAGAAGCACACAUGUAGCUGCCACUUGCUGAGAUCUUACUAUGUGCCAGGUGACUUCCCGGUCAUGGGGCAUAGCAGUUCCUCUUCAACCUCACAGUAACUCAGCAACAUUUCUCAUAGCUGCAAAAACAGGCUCGGAGGGGUCCAGGGCCCUGUCCACAGUGCAGGGUCACAAAGUAGCAGGGAAGGUCAAGAUUUGAAUUCAGAUCUACCUGACUCCACAGCUGUGUGUUAGAAGGAGCUACUGCCACAGGCCAUGCGGCCCUACCAUGGCAGGUAUGCAAGGAACCCACGGGGCUGCUGAAGAAGGGAUCCAGGAAGGGACGGGUGUAAGAACCGAGGACCUCUAGGGACACUCCCUCCCCUGGAUUCCACCGCUCAGAUGUUACCAAGUGCAAAUCUCCAGGAAGAAAGUACACAUGUAUUUUUUAUAUUGAAAUCAUACUAACAGCAAUUAUGCUUGAGGUGUCUGCGUGUCUAUAAUGUGUCGGGCAAUAAGGUACACAUUUAAUAUCACUCGUCUCUCAACCUCCACUCAACCCUGCCAGGUAGUACAAAUAACACACUUGGCUCAAAGGGACCAGAUCACUUGGCAAGGCCACACAGCCAGGUACUGGGAGAACAUCUCCAAAUCCACCAGAAUUCUGGAUCGCCUCGCUGCCUCCCUAAGCAGGUGUUUAUACCAUGAGAAGCGGAUAGUGCUCUGAGUAAGAGUACAGACUCUGGAACAGGAUCUGUAUUCUAACCCUCGCUCCACUCCUACAUGCUGCGUGACCUUUCAGAAGUGACUUAGCCUUUCUGUGCUUUGGCUUCCUCAACUGUAAAAUGGAGAUGGUUGCAAGGAGGAACUGAAUUAAAGCAUUUAGAUCCUUGCCUGGCACAUGGUACUUGCUAUGCAAGCGUGGGUUAUAUUUUAUUUUGAUCUGGGUAGAUUUCAGCUGCUCUGGGGUAACUCUGGAGAGUGUGUUGAAUGAAGCUACCUGCCUCUCCUUCCCCUGUCUCUGCUGGAGAUGGAACCAGAAGACCACAGUCCCUCUGGCCAUAAGAUGCUCUGCAGACUGGGGGAACUUUUCUCAGAAACUUUAUGUUUCUGCUGGAACUUCCUUACAGGUUGACUGCCCAUCCAACCUCAUGUUUUCACAAGCAGCUGGCAGGCUCUACAGAGGCCACCUGGGAGCCAGAAGGGCCAUCUCUGGGCCCUGUUGAACCUCUCACUGAGAUGAAGAGAUGGCCCAGGGCUUCUCAGCAAAGGGACAACCACUGAAAUAAAAGCGUGCAAGGUCUCACCUGCUUUGUGCCAAGCGAGAGACACAGAUCAGCUGCCCAGUUUGGGCAGCAGCAGAAAGAAUAUGAUGAGUUAAAAAUAGAUGAAAUUGUUCAUUAAAAAUACUAAGCAGCUCUGAACAACUAUCUGUUUUUGCCCUGGCCUGGAUAUUCCUUGUAGUUGGGUGGGAUAAAGGGAAUGAUUUGCAGAAAGGGUUCAAGCAUACAUUCAUAGAUUCCCAGGACUGGAAGAAGGAAGCAAACGUCUGUGGAGCCCCACUUUGUGGGAGCGUUUCCAGGCAUGAGCUCAUGCAGUCAUCAAAAUGGAGAUGAGGAGGCCACAGCUCAGAUGGUGAAAGCACUCUCCUCUCUAGGUCACACGGAUGAAACAUGGAGGGACCAGAAUGUGAAUCCUGAUCUGUUUCCACUCUCAUUCACUACAACAGGCUUGAGGUGCUGCUGCUGAGCCGGGAGAAUAGAAGCGUCCAAGUCAGUGCCUUCAGAGAUCCAGCUGACUUCAAGAGGGCUGAGGUCCACCCAGGGCCACCAGCAUCAGGAAGGAGACAGCUUUGCAGUGACUCCACCCGCUAUGUGCUGGGAGGCAUUGGCUGACUCCAAAGCACACAGCAAUUUCGGCUUGGCCCACGGCAGCAAACAGCUGUGCCAAUGCCCAUCCUAACGAGAAUAACGCAAGGCUUAGCCUGUAAUCCACCCCUCUGCAGAAACCAAUCAUUCCUCCUCAUUACCGAGCGAAGAAAUGCCUCUCAAGGCUCCUUUUCCUCCUUACAAACAAAAUAAAACAAAUCCUUCCUAUGGAUUUCAUUUGCCAUUUAAUGCAACCUAAUGAUUUCCAAUUGAAACCAUAUUUGUAUUUGUAUUGACUUAUUAAUAGCACAUCCAUUUUCCACACAAUAAAGCCUGAACAUACACUGAGGACUUUGACCAAAAUGCAUUAGGUAGCAUUAAAGAUUAAAUAAACACUGUUUCUAUGAAUAAUGUUUAAUGUCACCUAUUAGUCCAUUGAAAAUUGAUCUCUGGGUACUUCAAGCUGGGGUUCCAAGGAGUACAUUUUGAACAUAUUAUGAGUAAUGACUAUGCAUUAGGACAUGAAAUGGAUUCCAGGCCCUCAGUAGAGCUUGCUACUUUACUAUAUUCUGGUUAAUUUGCACAAAUAGUUGCAAUGUCAAUGGCAAAACCCAAGCACCAAACUGCAAUACAUGCCUGAUUCCGAAAAGCAACAUAGAAAUGGCUUAAAAGAAAAAUGAGAAACAUGUUUUGUUUUUUUUUCCCUUCCUCUGAGAACAGUGGUAGUAUUUGCUUACUUUCAUGUUUAUUGAUCUUUGAUGUUUCUCCUUAAAUUUUGGUAGACUGUGUUCCACACUAGAGUUCAGACAUGAUUUCCUAGCCGGACGCGGUGGCUCACGCCUGUAAUCCCAGCACUUUGGGAGGCCGAGGCGGGCGGAUCACGAGGUCAGGAGAUCGAGACCAUCUGGGUUAACACGGUGAAACCCCGUCUCUACUAAAAAUACAAAAAAAUUAGCCAGGCACAGUGGCAGGUGCCUGUAGUCCCAGCUACUCGGGAGGCUGAGGCAGGAGAAUGGCGUGAACCCAGGAGGCAGAGCUUGCAGUGAGUGGAGAUCGUGCCACUGCACUCCAGCCUGGGUGAUAAAGUGAGACUCUGUCUCAAAAAAAAAAAAAAAAAAAAAAAAUGAGUUCCCUUCUGCUCUGCCACAAGCUAAGGUGUGAGCUCCUCUCAGCUCUCUCCACUUAAAAAAGGAAAUCGUUGGGACACAGGCUCUGAAAGCUCUGGCAUUUCCUGACUCUGUGAUUUCACCAGAUAUAAAUCCCAUAAGGAAAAAGAUGGUGUCCUCUUUGACUUUGUGUCCCAAUUGCCCCAGCACAGUAUCAGACACCCAAAAAAGGCCUGGGUAAGAGGAAGGCUAGACUUUCAGAAAUGUGUUGAGAAGUCAGAUGUUCCUGGUAGACACGGCUUCAUUAGGCCAAGAGUCAUCAUUAUAAUGAUAACAAUUACUGUUUAUUGAGUACCUUCUAUGAGCAGGCGAG